rnacentral:lncRNA from 1 species
UUUUCUAAACAUUUAUACAAUAAAAGAAGACUAUGGCAACUAUUUUUUAAUAAUUAUGGCAAGAUUUUUAGCACAGAUAAUUGUUCUAGGGGGACAAAUCAUCGGCAAAGCAUUUACCCAAGCUCUUAAGCAAGAGUUUCAAGCUGGCUCUCAAUUUGCAUCACGCACCUCAAAUGAAGCACCAAGACAUGCAGCAAAUACUAUUAGCGGAAUGUCUCUUGAGGUAAAUAUUUU